UGAAAAUAGCAAUACUGAAAAUGACAAUAGUGAAAAUAACAACUAUGACAGUAUAAACAAUUUCGAUCAAAAAAAAUGCUAUUACUUCCGUUUCAAAAAUGAUAAAAAAAAAAGAACAAUAAAUUUUGAUUUUACAGAUAUAAAAUUUGAACAUGCCAAUUGUUAUACAUAUAUAAACACAUUUUGUGAAUGUUUCUACUUACCAUUAAUAUUCCCUUGUCUAUUGUAUAACAUCCACAAAGUCAAGUUUAAGUUAUCUGUUUCAUUUCGCAUCAAUUCGGACACGUUAACCGUGCAAAACGUAUCAAAUAUUGCCAAAACGGAUGCAAACCGUCUGGGACUUUACCAUUUAAUCAAAUAUAACAACACAAACAGUAAAAAUAUAAAAUUGUUAUUACAUAUAUAUGAAAAACAAUUUCAAGGUAAAGUAAUAAAUAAAAUUGGGAAGUGUAAAAUUAAUAAGCUUAGUAGUCUAAACAAAAAAGUAUUUUAUAAUAAAAAUAAAUACAACAAUCAAUACACACAAUCAAAAAAAUAUAUUAUUAACUGCUUAACCCCUUCCAACUUAGUUGUGAGUAAUAGUAAAUUAAAAAAAGUGUAUUACAGUACAUGUAAAGGGACUACUAAAUUUCUUUUUUGUAAUAAAAUUUAUAACAAAUGUAAUAAAUGCAACGAACGUAACAAAUGCAACGAAUAUAACAAACAUAAAAAUGAAAGAUGUUUUAGCCAGCUUCGACUAGUACCAACUGAAACAAAUGUAAAAAAAAGUACUAAGCUUGAAAAAAAUAAUAAUACUUUAAAAAAAAAUAAUAAAACUAAUGAAUUUAUAACAUAUAAAUUUUAUGGUACAGACAAAAUAGCUAACUAUAGUUUUUGCUUAUUCGUAGGAAUAUAUGACAAAAUAUAUUUUAAAAUUAAAAAUAUAUCUUUUUAUAUAUAUUUAGAACAGUAUAAAAAUGAUCAAGCGAAGAAGAUAAAAUAUGAUUUCUUUAUUAACAUAAUAAAAAAAAUAAUCAUUCUCAUAUUUAAAAGAUUAAAAGUUUUAAAAAAAAAAAUAUAUGAAUCAAAAUUUUUACAGUUUAUGGUUGUAAAUAUGUACAAAUAUGCAGGUGAAGAAAAUUAUAACUGUAUUACCUUGUUAAUGUCAUUUGUAAGGUCACUCAUUGAAAUAGAUAGUGGCGUAACGAGUAGUAUAAACAACAACAUAACCGGUGAGAACAAAAAUAAUGAACUAACAAGUUGGUUUAAAGUUAUACAAGCUAUAAAAUUAAUUAUUCACGAAAUGUUUCAUAUCGUAUGGGGUAAUUGUUUAUUAUUCAAAAAAGAGAAAUAUUUAUGGUGUAAAGAGGGUUUAACUAGAUAUUAUGAAAUAAAAUAUUCUCCUUUAAUUUUGAAAAAAUUAAAAUGUAUAAAAUGGUCAAGAUAUAUUUUAUCUUUAUGGUUACUUUUAGAAUACUAUUUUUAUGUUAUUAUUAUUGAUACGCUGAAUGAAUACAAUCAUAUAUUAAACAUAAAAUAUGUG
rnacentral:lncRNA from 1 species